UGGGGAAUAUUGCACAAUGGGGGAAACCCUGAUGCAGCGACGCAGCGUGCGGGAUGACGGCCUUCGGGUUGUAAACCGCUUUCAGCAGGGAAGAAGCCUCACGGUGACGGUACCUGCAGAAGAAGUACCGGCUAACUACGUGCCAGCAGCCGCGGUAAUACGUAGGGUACGAGCGUUGUCCGGAAUUAUUGGGCGUAAAGAGCUCGUAGGUGGUUGGUCACGUCUGCUGUGGAAACGCAACGCUGAACGUUGCGCGUGCAGUGGGUACGGGCUGACUAGAGUGCAGUAGGGGAGUCUGGAAUUCCUGGUGUAGCGGUGAAAUGCGCAGAUAUCAGGAGGAACACCGGUGGCGAAGGCGGGACUCUGGGCUGUAACUGACACUGAGGAGCGAAAGCAUGGGGAGCGAACA
rnacentral:rRNA from 1 species